GGCGAAAAGCAAGAGGGCUCUGUGCCUGAGAAAUUAUCGUGUCAGAUUUCCAAAUGUGGCAGAAGAACAAUUUCGCGGAGAAUCAGGAUUCUGAUCAAAGCAUAUCUGAAGAGGAAGAUUGCUCUCCUGAUUGGCCGGGAAAUUGUAUUUCCUUAGGUGGACCUGCAGAAAAGGGAGGACUACAAAUUCAAUCACAGCUUGAGAUACUCAGAGAUACUUGUGGUCAUGGGAAAACAGGCUUCUUUAUUGAAGACGAGGUUGAACUUCCUUUCUUCCACAAUGAGGGUGACUUAGUUCGUUCUCCAAGGAGGGCAUCUACAUGCAAGUUGGAUGGAGAAAUUUUUUUUGAUGAGGAGUUACACAAUAAGUUUCAUUUCCUUAUUCAAAAACAUUUGACACUGGCUAUGGUUUUUGAGGUAAAGAAAAAUGCCGUGCUUUCAACAUUACCCAGUACUUCUGGGGCUAAAGAUUUCCAGAAAGUCAAUCCUCAGAGCUUUGGGAACGAAAGUCAAAAUGAGGUAUGCACAUGGUCAACAGUAGCUAAAGAAGCCAAGGCUCUGGUUCAUUUAAAUGAGAAUGCUGGGUGUUCCUCAUCCCAGGCUUUCUCUUCCAAAACGAACUGGUUUUCUAAAGCGGGCCGAGGGAAAGCCAAGCCAAAAUUUUCAUUUCGUUUCCAGUCACACAAGGGAGAUUCUUGGCCUGUUGAUAGCAAGGAUGGGAAUGACAUGCCACACAAGCUUCUAGAAAAUAUUGAUCACAUAACAAUGGAACAUUCCGUUGCUGAUCGUGUGGGAACUUUUCAGGGAAAAAAGAUGGAACAGUUGAAGAUUUAUGCAGCACCAACUGAACUGGCAGUUGGUCAUAAUUAUGCAGAGCAUUCAAUGGCUGAGCUUCUGGAUGGCUAUCAGGAAAGUAAUGAUUUGGUGCAGCGAAAUUUUAAAAUGAAUACUAAAACAAGAGGAAAAAUGGUUCAGCUUGUUAAGAGAAGUAUACCCCUGUUGGAUUCAGGAAACAUGGACGAUAAUAACCCCCCUGAGACUCUAGAUAGUGGAACAUCAAGUGAUGAAGAGGCUAAUGUUCAAAAUCUAAAUCUUAUUAUCCCUGAAUCGAUUCGGAAGACUAUUGCUGAACAAUUUCAUGAAGCUUUAGGUGCUGCUUCUAUGCAUGGUGAGGGUCCCCUCUUUGCAUUGCCUAGGCAAUUGGGUGUUGGAUUAUUUGGCAAGUUGCAGCGGGUAAUGCAUAGUGAAAAGGAAAGAGAUAUGGAUUUCUUAAAGAGGUUACAGACAGGAGCUUUUGCAAAUGAUGAAGCAAGCUGUAUUGAUGUGAAAAUUUUGUCAAGGAGUUUGGAAGCAAAGCUGACUGUCUGUUGUUGUUCUCUCAGCAUAGACAAAAAGAGCUCUCAUUGGGCAGGAAGACCCCUAAUAACAAAGGAAAAUGGGGAAAGAACUUUGACAAUCAUUUUUAGCUCAAAAGCAUGCGGUGAUGUUGAGCUUGAAGUUGGGAAUUUGGUUCGUAUUCACCCACCAUGGUAUGAACAGUACAAUGGAAAGAGGCAAGGGUGAUGGGGAAAGAUGAGACCAUCAUUUUAUCCACAUAUUUCUCCCAGAUUUGAACUCAAUAAAUUUGGCCUGAAUUGUGGAGAGGUCAAUUCAAGGUCAAGAAAUGGCAUGACAAAUGGGCAACCAAACCCAGGUGGAAGGAUAAAGUAUGAACUUACCUUCUGGAAAGAAAGAAGGAAAAAGAAGAGACAAGGUAUCAUUAUCUUUUGGGGAAAUUCAUGUUUAAUUUUUAAAAAGGUGUAAGAUGAAAGGAGAAGACAAGGAAAGGAAUCAUACAUUCUACAAUGACCAAAGUGAAAAAAAAAAAAUUAAGGAAGG